rnacentral:rRNA from 1 species
CCAGACUCCUACGGGAGGCAGCAGUGGGGAAUAUUGCACAAUGGGGGAAACCCUGAUGCAGCGACGCCGCGUGAGUGAAGAAGUAUUUCGGUAUGUAAAGCUCUAUCAGCAGGGAAGAUAAUGACGGUACCUGAGUAAGAAGCCCCGGCUAACUACGUGCCAGCAGCCGCGGUAAUACGUAGGGGGCAAGCGUUAUCCGGAUUUACUGGGUGUAAAGGGAGCGUAGACGGCAUGGCAAGUCUGAAGUGAAAGCCCGGGGCUCAACCGCGGGACUGCUUUGGAAACUACCGGACUGGAGUGUCGGAGGGGUAAGUGGAAUUCCUAGUGUAGCGGUGAAAUGCGUAGAUAUUAGGGGGAACACCAGUGGCGAAGGCGGCUUACUGGACGAUCACUGACGCUGAGGCUCGAAAGCGUGGGGAGCAAACAGGAUUAGAUACCCUCGUAG